GGGAAUUUUCGGCAAUGGGGGGAACCCUGACCGAGCAACGCCGCGUGAAGGAUGAAGGUCUUCGGAUUGUAAACUUCUUUUAUAUGGGAAGAACUAGUGGGAUAGGAAAUGAUCCCACCUUGACUGUACCAUGUGAAUAAGACACGGCAAACUCUGUGCCAGCAGCCGCGGUAAUACAGAGGUGUCAAGCGUUAUCCGGAUUUAUUGGGCGUAAAGGAUGAGUAGGUGGCUCAGAAAGCCUGUGAUGAAAUACUGCUGCUUAACGGCAGUCUGUCACGGGGAACUACUGGGCUAGAGACAAGGAGAGGUAAGCGGAAUUCCAUGUGUAGCGGUAAAAUGCGUAGAUAUAU
rnacentral:rRNA from 1 species